GGAAGUGAUCAGAAAGUGCCUUCCAGUGACGCGAAACGCAAGACACGCGAAAAAGCGUUACAACAAUAUACGCGCACAUAACAUGAAAUUUCGGCUUCACGCUGGUGAGAUUCCGUUACGUUUUCUACACUUCCCAGCGGCGCACUCCCAUGUCGAUACCAGCAGGAGUCGCAGUUAUUGUAUCAAGUGGCCGGCAUACAAAACCUAAGUGUGUUUGUCGGCAGCAACAAAAAAAUAGUGGAAAGGGAAAAAAGAAAAAAAAAAUUCCCGGUAUCAUCGAAAGUCGUUAUUGACACCACCAUACGAUGAUGACGAGACCGCACAUUGUGUGUGAGUACAAAAAAUUCAAUGUUUUCUCUCCACACGCACUACGUCACGAGAAUUGAUGAUCAUGAUUGGAAGGUGAAUUUGAAACGAGUUGCCAGAAUCGUGUGUCCUGUCUCAUCAUAUAAAACUGAUGAGUUCACUGUUAACUACACGUUCAUCGUAGGUGUUCAUAGACCCACCGCGACAAAAAAAUUACACGUUAAGGCAUCGUUGUUUGAUAGAUUGCUGAUUACUUUGUUUACUAUGUUCUGUCGUAGAAAAAAAGGUGUUAAAGAAUUUUGCUUUUCAGGUAUAGGUAAUCUAUUUUAGAAUUCCAUGGCCGGCUGAAUCAUCGCAUAACGAGAGAGAGAGAGAGAAAGAGGCACGAAACAGAUUCAUUCUGCCCACCCUCGAUUUUAACGACAUUUGUGGAUUGGGGAUCAAUAGCUACGGAAAAGGUCAAACAAUUCAACUCUCUCCCGUUUCUUGUGUCUACCGUUGCCUUUUUUCGCCUACAAUCGGAGUACAACGAACGAAAAACCGCUGCGGGAGAAAAUGGUGUUGUCGUGAGCGCUUCGUGACUUUUCCCAAAUCACGGAUGAGAGGCGAAACGAGGUUACGCUAGAAUUGGGAGCGGUCCAACCACCACCACCUUUAUCUGUCCGCUUUGUCUCUGCAUGUAGUACAUCAUCGCAAUUUUAGGCAAGAAAAAAAAAGAGAAAGUCGAGCUUCAUUGCCUCUUCUUUUUGCGCACAUUGAUGUCGGUGACGGCAAGCCAACUCGAACGAAAACGAAAGCACGCGGGAGUUCCAGAAAAAAAACGCCAUGCAUUGUGAUUAGGAAGCCCGUGGCCGACCACUAGAACAUGGUAAAUAAAUUUCCUGAGCACAAUGGCGCACGAGACAGACGGUUAAAAAUAAUAGUUACAAUUGUGUUCAGCCGCCAAGAAUGGCUGUGUAUAUAAAAAUUCGUGAAUGACAUGACGUAACCUUCCCUCUAGGUGUAUUGUGUCAUCAAGCCUGUUUUUCAUCUUAACGCGACAGUUGUGUCUGUUGACAAAGCGUUCGAUCGACAUCAAGUUAUGAAAGGGAUAUAAAAAUAGUUAUGACAGUAAGUGAAGGACUUUAUUGGGGCGUUUAGAUUUGCAUAUCAAGGGUCUUUGACCUUCACCAAACCUGAA